rnacentral:rRNA from 1 species
UACGUAGGGGGCUAGCGUUGUCCGGAAUCAUUGGGCGUAAAGCGCGUGUAGGCGGUCCGGUAAGUCCGCUGUGAAAGUCGGGGGCUCAACCCGUCGGAUGCCGGUGGAUACUGUCGGGCUUGAGUACGGAAGAGGCGAGUGGAAUCCUGGUGUAGCGGUGAAAUGCGCAGAUAUCAGGAGGAACGACCGGUGGCGAAGGCGGGACUCUGGGCCGAUACUGACGCUGGAGGAGCGAAAGCGUGGGGAGCAAACAGG